UAUACAUGGCUGGAAGGGAAUACUUGCUAUGAGCUACCCCUUACUUCAACAUAAGCACGACUCACGUGAUAAUGCAGCACAAAGACGAUGUGAGCGCCAUGCCACCGCGGGGACGUCUACGGUAAACCUUCCAAUAGAAACCACCUCAUCAACUCUGGAAACGGUGACUCCUCCUCCAGGGACGUCAGUAUCUGUUGCCAGAACAACAACAUCCCAGGAAUUGACGUCAACAUAUAAAGAGGUAACAAGAGUGGAAAUGAUAACAUCAUCAGUCGGAAUGACUGUCGGAGCUUUUGAGAAGAUAACAACAAGUCCCCUUCGGAAUUCGACAGUCUCAUCUAUCCAGACAUGUAGCUGUCUACAGCGCAACUGUUCCCUGAAUCCUAACGAGGGAGAAAUGAAACGAAUUAUCGAAGCACUUCGUACUGAACUUCUAAUUCAACGCGAGAAAACAAAUAGAUACAAGCGUUCAUUAACAUCCGCGUGGGAUGGCCGGACAUCGGCCAAGGUGUUGGGCUACGGGGCAAGCAUCAUCCUCGGGGCGGUUGGGAUCGGGAUUGUGAUACUGGACUUGAAUAAUCUCAUAGUAAUGGCGAAGCGAAUUCGACAUAAUCUGCGAUCAAAGUCAUGUCAUAACAAAAACGUUUGCAUAUAAUUUUGCAAGAGUGUCCAAUGACAAGAUAUUCUUACGGUGUCAUAGUAACAUGUACGAUGUACAGCGUUUAGAUUUUAAUCCAAGGCUAACUAUGCGGGUUUUUUUUUUAUACUUUAUGAAUGUAUGUAUGUGAC
rnacentral:misc_RNA from 1 species